CUGAUGUUCAGUGUCCCCACGCACUGCAUGGGGAUGCUGAAUUUUUCCCUCAUAGAGAUGCUACGGAUUUUUAUGUGGUUCCUGCGCUGUUUAUCCUCCAGGGCUGUGAUUUGGUGUGUCAGUGUGACUUGAGUGGUUUGCAAUUUUUGUACUGUCUCUUUAAGGGCCACGAUGUCAGUUCUGGAAGCUAGUAUGUCCUUUUCAGAGGUUUGUAC